rnacentral:rRNA from 12 species
UCUACGGCCACACUGUCCUACGAGUGCCCAAUCCCUGGUUAGUACUCAGAUGGGAGACCACCUUGGAAGACCAGGGGCCACUAGAC